UCUCCUGGAAACGGGUGGUAAUGCCGGAUGCUCCAGUUGAUCGCAUGGUCUUCUGGGAAAGCUUUCGCGGUAUGGGAUGGGGUCGCGUCCUAUCAGCUUGACGGCGGGGUAACGGCCCACCGUGGCUUCGACGGGUAGCCGGCCUGAGAGGGCGACCGGCCACAUUGGGACUGAGAUACGGCCCAGACUCCUACGGGAGGCAGCAGUGGGGAAUAUUGCACAAUGGGCGCAAGCCUGAUGCAGCGACGCCGCGUGAGGGAUGGAGGCCUUCGGGUUGUAAACCUCUUUUAUCGGGGAGCAAGCGAGAGUGAGUUUACCCGUUGAAUAAGCACCGGCUAACUACGUGCCAGCAGCCGCGGUAAUACGUAGGGUGCAAGCGUUAUCCGGAAUUAUUGGGCGUAAAGGGCUCGUAGGCGGUUCGUCGCGUCCGGUGUGAAAGUCCAUCGCUUAACGGUGGAUCCGCGCCGGGUACGGGCGGGCUUGAGUGCGGUAGGGGAGACUGGAAUUCCCGGUGUAACGGUGGAAUGUGUAGAUAUCGGAAAGAACACCACAC
rnacentral:rRNA from 1 species